UACAGAGGGGGCAAGCGUUGUUCGGAAUUACUGGGCGUAAAGGGCGCGUAGGCGGCCUGCUAAGUCGAACGUGAAAUCCCCGGGCUCAACCCGGGAACUGCGUCCGAUACUGGUUGGCUUGAAUUCGGGAGAGGGAUGUGGAAUUCCAGGUGUAGCGGUGAAAUGCGUAGAUAUCUGGAGGAACACCGGUGGCGAAGGCGGCAUCCUGGACCGAUAUUGACGCUGAUGCGCGAAAGCCAGGGGAGCAAACGGGAUUAGAAACCCCUGUAGUCC
rnacentral:rRNA from 1 species